UUGGAGUCAUAAUUCAAGCAUUUGUAAUUUUUUAAAGCAAACCAACACAAGAAUGAACACAUUAAUCUAUCCAUGAAAUUAAAGAUAUCACUAAAAUUAUAAAGAACUAUACACAAGUCAAAACUAAUAUGUUAUACGGCCUAUUUGGAGUCAUAACUAAUCUGUUAAAAAUAUAAAGAACUAUACACUUGCCAACCAGAAACCAUUCUUCAUCAAAGUAUC
rnacentral:lncRNA from 1 species